rnacentral:rRNA from 1 species
GGGCCCGCACAAGCGGUGGAGCAUGUGGUUUAAUUCGAUGAUACGCGAGGAACCUUACCAGGGCUUAAAUGUAGAACGACCGAUUUGGAAACAAGUCUUCUCUUUGAGCGGUCUACAAGGUGCUGCAUGGUUGUCGUCAGCUCGUGUCGUGAGAUGUUGGGUUAAGUCCCGCAACGAGCGCAACCCUCACUUUUAGUUGCCAUCAUUAAGUUGGGCGACUCUGAAAGAACUGCCAGUGAUAAGCUGGAGGAAGGUGGGGAUGACGUCAAGUCCUCAUGGCCCUUACGUGUUGGCUACACACGUGCUACAAUGGUAUUUACAACAGGAAGCAAGACUGCGAAGUUAAG